GGCGCGGUGAUACAUGCUCCCGAUAUAAAUAAAAUUCGAAGAGAGCAAUCCCACAACACUCGUAGAGCUGUCCGCAGGACGCGACGUCGAUCGACUAACCCCCGCGGUGUUCGACCCUGGGAGGAAUUCAGUUCGACACACCAUAGGCGGUAGUUCUGUCGAUUUUUUUUGGACUCUUGACAUAACCUAUAAAAUCGUAUUUUUACUACUUUCAAUUCACCAUCUUUGCUCGAUCGACUCAAAUGUAAAAAUCGAUAUAAUAACUUUUUGAAAUGUUUAUUCAUGAGAUUUAUCGCAAUAUAUUAAUUGAAAGAAAAAGCUCGAAAAAACAUCGAACAGACAAAAUAAUGAACGUCGCUAUACUGUCGCAACUCUCUCCAGCCGGGUAACCGUGGUCGGAAAAAAGAAAAAAUGAGCGGGGAAAUAAGAGCUAAAAAGGAAGGAAGAAAAAACACGCGAAAAAGUGCGAUCUGGACGUAAAGCAAGACGUCACCGCUCAAUGAAUUGGACUCCAUCAGUUGUUUCUCAUUUUCCAACCUCACCUACGAACAAGAAAAUCAACAAUAAUUUUCCCACCAACCGCUGCACACGGGUGCUUAAUCGUCGGAUCGUUGACCCGCUCAUUUGUUAUCAUAAAUUCGUCACUCACUCCAGCAACGCGGGAACGCUCGCGACUCAGCUCCGUGCAAUGGGCGGACGGGUUUCUGCUCUAAAUGACGUUUUGGACCAGAUGUUCGAGUUCUGCGUUUCGUUGACGCGAUAAACGAGGCUCUGAUAUAAUUUACUGUAUACAUGCGAACGUACUAAAUAAUCGUCUGUCUCGACCGAGCCUCUUUUCGUCUGAUUUUUUUGUCUCUUUUCAAUGGUCGCGAUUCUACCGAACCCCGGAACAAGCAUCUUCAGUGUUGUGAAUAUUUUACAAGUACCUCGAUCUUGGACUGAAAAUAGUGCGGAAUUGAGGCAGACUUGAAUCCUGGGUAGAUUUAAAGAUGCGAAAUACUGGAAGAUCAGGACCUCGUAGAAUUUUGUCAAUCGAAACUGCAUCGUUUGCGUACAAAUGUGAAGAUAGGCGGAAAAAAAACGUUCCCACUCGUCACUGGGUCACCUAUACCCGCGAACGUCGACCACGGAGAAAUGCUUCCCGGGAGAGGAAACGCAGCGCUACGAACAAAGAGCGAAGAGCGUUCAAUGGAGCUCGGCGUAUUCAUCGCAGUAACUUUGACUGCGCACUUGAAUUAAACGGAAGAUCAAUUUAGUUAAAUGAAAAUUCUCGAAUCGUCUUCGUUCACCGGAGUUUCGCACGAGCAUCCGUGCAUUCAAGUCUGAGGCGGCGCUUUCAUGGAUCCUGGGACCACGUUUUUUGCCUUCUCGUUUAAUUCUUUGCGGCUGAUGCGCGCUUUGGAAUUCGAUGCUACAAACAAUCAUAGAGUUUACCUACAUUUUCAAGAAUAAUCUCCGAGAUUGAUUACUGCUUUCGAACCUGAGAAUUCUCCCUCGUCUAACUCAUGAAAUCGCGGUUAAUUCAAAUUUCGUUUCCUUUCGUUGGUUUUUAUACGUUAGCGACUGAGCAGCGACGAGUCAAUAAAUUUUCAUUCCAUUUUGAAGUCACUUUGACCGUCGACGGAGAAAAUUACUUUUUUUCAUUUCUGUAAUGGAACUGCACAACGUUCAAAUGUUUAAAUAACAAUGAAAAUGUCCAAAAUGUCCUCCAAACUUGUAAAAUUAGGACUAAAUUCAUAAUUUCAUCACAAGUUUAAAAAAAAAAAGGUUUAAAAUUAACAGCCGAAGAUUCCGGUAGUUGGGUCCGUGGCCAAACUUCGCGGCUUACGUCACGGCUGUUCGUUUCGCAUAUCGAUGGCUUCGAUUCAGGCUGCUGCGAUCUAACCAAUAUAUUUAGCGCGUAAUACUCGGACAAUCAGCAUUACGAUGGUUGACUUACGUAAACUCGUAUUUUCGAAUUAUGUGUCCGAAACGAUUGUUCGUAAUUGUGUUUUCAGGCAAUUUGCCACUUUUGGGUGCGUUGGCUGAAAAAUGUAAAUCAGCUUUUCGUGGGAGCAAGUUUCCAGGAAUUUUCGAAUGAAUUCAAAUGAAAUAUUAUACAAAUUAUAUUUUCGCGUAUCGAUCGUUCAAAAAAUGGCAUCGUUCGUUUGUCCUGUUGUUUAAACGAGGUAAACUUCGAGUUAAUAAACCAGCGCAUCGGAAGUACUCGAGUCAUUGAAAAAACCUGUUCGAACAAUUAUUGUUUUUGUCGUGCGCUCGUUUGUCUGCAAAAAAUUAUCGACAUCCGGGAAAAGGUAGAAAUUCCUGAGAGUCCACGUGCCCCGAAGUGACAGAACUGUCGACGCGGAUCGUCCUCAAACACGCAGAUUCAAGUGACAAAAGACAGCACGCAACAGGCUAAUUGAUGGAAAUUGUAGAACGGAACUUUCAGCGGGUAUACGAUUAUGUAAAAUAAACAACAAAAAAUGUAGUGAAUCAAAAAAAGAUCUUUAUCGAGCGUAAAGAAAAAAAAACGAUUUUUUCUACUUACCAUUCGAUAUUGAAAAAAUUGAUCAUAGAAAAGCCACGAAGAAAUAGUUUUGAGUGAUGAAAGUGGAGCGAAUCGAAAUACUUGUACUGGAAACUCGUUUAUUCAAUAUUCAUUUUAAAGAAGACGUAACGGAAUAUUGUUGAAAAAUCACGUGCGUUGAGUGGCUUCCAACAGCGCCUAUCGAUCACAGCACGAAAGUUUUCACUGAACAUUCAAAUUCAGAUUACUAAAAAAAGUAGAUCAUUAUUUCGUGUUACAAAGUGCCUAACAGUUGAGGAACCGGCGAAAAACGACGAUCGAGGGCAUUGUGCCCGACUCCAAUGAUUUUCGUUCCGUCAAGUGUCAAAAAAGAGAUUUUUCGACUUACCGAUUCACGUAGAAAGCGUAAUGAUUAUCGAGAAUCGUUCGAAACGAGUUUUGCAACUUUCUGUCUCAAGUCCUGACUACUUCCCAGCGAAAAGUCAUUGAACAUGAUUGUCUCAAAAUUUGAAAUCAUUCGAAUUAAAAUGACGAUCAGUUUUGGUCCAAAACAGCCCUCCAUCGUGUGUCAACGAAAAGAAACAGAGUUGAGCAUAAAAAAAAUGUUUUUCUAGCCGCCUAAAGACUCCGCGACGAACAUGUAACCUAGCACGGGGUUUGUAUCGAGCUCAUUAGUAUUACGAACGCAGACAUCGAUUAUUGAGGCUCAUAAUUGUUUCGAUGUUCACCACGGUUUAUGUUUUUGUCGUACGUUACAACAGAGCGCGGUUUUAGUUGACAUCGUGUCUCAUUACCAUAACUGGUUGCCAUUCAGUUCGUACGGAGAGUCUCUGGUAACGUUAUCCGCUAGGCAAAAGACACGCCCGCGAGAGAGAGAGAGAGAGAGAGAGAGGGAGGUGUGUGUAUGAAACGUGUACGCGUAUCUAUAUUUAUAACCGUGUUACACUAAAGUUUCUUCGUGUAACGUGUACAAACGUAUAACGCUACACGUAACGAUGAAGAGCACGUUGGUCACAUUCGACACGAGAAAUUCCAUGGAAGCAUCACGCCGCAACGUUCAUGUUGAACGCACUCAAUUUCCUCGCUGCUCGCUGUGCCGUCAUAUCGUAACGUUUACGAACGAGAGAUGGGGAGAGGAGAAGGAUCGAGAAGAAAAAACGAGCGAAUGUUUUUUGGAAUUUGUACGUGAUUACAGUCGAUGAAUUGCCAUUCAUGGGUAUCUCGUUCCCGUAGUUGAAUGGAUGCUUUCCUACUUUUCACACUAAUUAGAUAGAAGCUUGUACAUGGUAGUAUUUUUAAACACGAGACUGACUCAACCAGUAUCGGAGGUGCACAGUGCUGCUGUUGACACCUUCGCUUUCGUGUGUCGUCGCGCUCUUCCGAUUAUUUUACAUCCAAGAGUUCGAUGUAGUCGAAUGAAAAGUUGAUAAUUCUCGUUUAUUAUGAUAAAAUUCUCGAUUUGAUUUUUUUUAUACGGAUUCCUGAUUGUGUAACGAUUAUUUGUAAAAUUGAUUUUUCUGAAUAAAUUAAUCAUG